AUGGCCGUGGGUUGCAGGUUUCCGGUGCGAGCGGAGUUCGCGGACAGCCUGGAACAUCCAGAUCCGGUGCCUCUUGCGGUGCUCCCGCGACGUGAUGUCACCCCUGCUACGCCGGCGGAUUCGAAUGCUGGCUCCGGGUGCAGGCAGCACGUUGGUUGCGCUAGCCCUGGGAGGACGCAGGGUGAAAAUCGGUGUCGACGGCCGGGCUCUCCGACGAGGUCUGCGCAGUCCACCCACAGGGUAAAUCCAGAGGCGCCGGGAUGGACCAAAAGCAACUGUUACAAUGAAGAAAAAGCCAUCACUGGUUUGUCACAGCAGAAGGUGGGUGCAGGAGAUGAUGAUGAUGCGCUGCUAAUAUUGGACUUGCCAGCGUAUUCUCAUUUCAGCAAAGGGUCAUUUUUGUGGCAGCCCAGAGAUAGGAAAACUGUGUCUAGUCAAGACCUACUUAGCAACAAAGAGAGAAUCAAAUUCAUCAUAAAUAAGGGGCUGCCAUUGACUUGUCGUUCAUCGCAAAGUUCAGGAGAAUCUGGAUGA
rnacentral:rRNA from 1 species